UUGACGGAUCACAGAUCUUGU
rnacentral:snRNA from 1 species